rnacentral:rRNA from 1 species
UACGUAGGGUGCAAGCGUUAAUCGGAAUUACUGGGCGUAAAGCGUGCGCAGGCGGUUUGUUAAGACAGAUGUGAAAAUCCCCGGGCUUAACCUGGGAACUGCAUUUGUGACUGGCAAGCUAGAGUAUGGCAGAGGGGGGGUAGAAUUCCACGUGUAGCAGUGAAAUGCGUAGAGAUGUGGAGGAAUACCGAUGGCGAAGGCAGCCCCCUGGGCCAAUACUGACGCUCAUGCACGAA